UACGUAGGGGGCAAGCGUUGUCCGGAAUCAUUGGGCGUAAAGCGCGCGUAGGCGGCCCGGUAAGUCCGCUGUAAAAGUCCAGGGCUCAACCCUGGAAAGCCGGUGGAUACUGUCGGGCUAGAGUCCGGAAGAGGCGAGUGGAAUCCUGGUGUAGCGGUGGAAUGCGCAGAGUAUCAGGAGGAACACCGAUGGCGAAGGCAGCUCGCUGGGACGGUACUGACGCUGAGGCGCGAAAGCGUGGGGAGCGAACAGG
rnacentral:rRNA from 1 species